rnacentral:rRNA from 1 species
AGUACGCUAUGUGAAUCAUCGAAUCUUUGAACGCACCUUGCACUUGGGGGGUCAAUCCCCAAGUAUACCUGUUUGAGUAUCAUUUACAUUUAUCCAAGCAAUUGGGAUUUGAGCACCAACACGCUAGUAGUGGCGGUGCUUUAAAUGCAGCGAGGAAGAAAAAGCUGCUGGUGCACUUUUCGAGUGAGGAUAUUUGCAUUCGUGCAAAGCAAUCACGAGAGCGAGCGCAGUCGGUGCUGUUUCAGUUCUUUAAAACCAACCAGUAAUGCAACACAACGCAACACAACACAUCCACUACGUGCAUGUGGCGCUGCAUUACUGUCCUGGUGGCACAAAUGUGAUCUCAAAUCAGGCAAGACUACCCGCUGAACUUAAGCAUAUCAAUAAGCGGAGG